AUUGAACGCUGGCGGCAGGCCUAACACAUGCAAGUCGAGCGGAGCGGCGGACGGGUGAUUAAUGCCUAGGAAUCUGCCUGUUAGUGGGGGAUACCGUCCGGAAACGGGCCCUAAUACCGCAUACUAUCAGAUGAGCCUAGGUCGUAUUAGCUAGUUGGUGGGGUAAAGGCCUACCACGGCGACGAUCCGUAACUGGUCUGAGAGGAUGAUCAGUCACACUGGAACUGAGACACGGUCCAGACUCCUACGGGAGGCAGCAGUGGGGAAUAUUGGACAAUGGGCGAAAGCCUGACGGAGCAACGCCGCGUGAGUGAUGAAGGUCUUCGGAUCGUAAAACUCUGUUAUUAGGGAAGCGGUACCUAAACAGAAAGCAACGGCUAACUACGUGCCAGCAGCCGCGGUAAUAC
rnacentral:rRNA from 1 species